GCAUUAAAAUUUCAUGGGCGCCGCAGCAGCUACAAAGACGACGCCGGCUGCGCCCGGGGACCGGAGGGAGGGAGGCUGCGGACGAGCGCGGGGAGGAGUUUGCGAGGGGAGGCGCUUGCAGGGGCUCCCCCAGUUCUGCACUGUGAGCCGGGGCACAAAGCCCUCUGCACUCCGCCGCAGGACCGCGGAGCCCAGCUGGAGGCCUGUCUCUGCUCACCCACGUGGUUCCGGACACGUUCAUGCAGCCGCACUGACCUGGUGGCAUCUGAGGAGUACCCAAGGUGACCCUCCAGUCUCCUCCGAGUGUGCCAGAGUGGCAGCAAGUUCCUGGGACGAAGAGGAGAGAAGGGAAUCUCGAGCCCGUCUAGGGUGCGGCAGGCCACACGGUAGAGCAGCCUUGCAGAUAAGUAUUCAAAUCUACCAGCCCGUGGCCCACCGGCCCCGGCCCUCCACCUGCCUUCCCUGGUCUGUAUAGGAGAAUGGAGUGUCCUAGAAUCCCCAAGAGGGAGGGGAAGUCGGGGAGGAGAGGAGGCUCUACUUUUAUUUCAGGAAGAAAGAGCUUGUUCCAUUUUAUGGGCCUCAAAAAAAAAGGUGAUUUUCACACCCCACUUCUGCAUCUGAGCUAGUGUUUUAUAACCUGCUGUCAGGAGCUUUUAUAUAGCUGAGUUAAAUGACUUCAUCUCUGUCCCUGUAGGUCUGCUGUUAGUAGGGGGCUGGGGACUUCCUGGCGAUUUGGACUGGCCCAUAUCUUCUCAGUGGCCUUUGGUGGCCACAUUCCUGAGCUUGGCUAGGGGCCCUUGGCCUUGCAGUGAAGUGUGGACGGCAGCUCGGCCCCCGUGGGACACACUCUUGUUAGUGUCAGGUCUGAGCUGGUGCCUGCCCCAAGUCCCAGGUGCCACAGUGAGCUCUGAAAAUAUGCCAAGAGGGUCCUCCGAGUCCCCUGGCUCAGGCCACUGGUGGACGGUGAUCACACAGCUGGUACCAAGAGCAAAAUUCAGGAUUUGGAGAGUGGGCAUUCCCGGGCCCUCUCCAGGCUGUGCACAUAGGGUGGCCCUACAGGCGUCCCCCCUCCACCCCUGAGCUCCCCAAGCUGCUCCUGCUGCCUGGCACAUCAGGGAAGGGCGGGGGCCCUCUGUCCUGUGCUCCCUCUGAGCUGCACUGCCGGGGAGCGGGGAGGUGGGGACAGGGUCACUGCCCACUUCCCGGACUCACUAAGGACGUCUGGGGUGGAUGGAAGGGAGGUGGCGGCCCAGCCUCCCUGGCUCCGAGUGGCCAGGCUUGGGCCUGGGGAGGGGCCUGGGUGCAGUUCUCUCCUGCGGUGUGGGUGCCCUUUUUUGUCUUCCAGGAUGGGCCCGUGGGGUCAGCGUGGGGAGGAGCUGGGAGCCCGUGGCCUUGGCUGGGUGCUCCAGUCAGCACAGACGCGGGCUAGGUGCCUUCUCCGAGGCGGCUGCUGGGAUCCGGAGGUGGACACCAGAGACACGGCCCCUCCUCUCGGAUCUCCGGGCGGCUCUGCCCAGUGCAGCUCGUCCACCUGCUCUGCUCUUUGGUGCCCGGGACUCUGCAUCCUGGCUACAGUGACCUCAAGGCUGGGCCACCGCUCAAAGACCUCAGCCUCCCUACCCUUGGGAUGGAGCCUCUGGUGGACCAGAGCCCUUCUUGGUAGAUGCUCAGCCGACGACCCCAUCCUGGCCCUGCGGACUCUCAUCUUGCGGGUGUGAGAGGCCAUGGCCUCGCUGGCUCCGGCUCCACCUUCGGCUUCCCGCCUGCCCUGAGGGCCGGCCCCCUGGAUUUCUCCUCCAGUCCCCUCCAGAGACAGCUGGGCCUGGGCAAGGCCCCCUCCCAGGGCCGGUCUUAAAGGACCCUGCAGGGUGGGGGUGGGGUGAGCUGGGGAUGGAGGCCAGUCACCAGUGGGAGGCUGGACGCAGCUCCUGGGCCUUCCCCAGGAGUCUUUUUGGUCCUUGGGUGUUUUCCGCAUGGGUGACUGUCGUUUUGGGGAGUGCUUCCUGGUUGGGCUUUUCCAGUGUCUCUCCUUCCCCUCGUGGUUCCAGGGAGGAGGCAGUGGGGGGGGGCGCUGGGCCUUCCCUGUAGGGUGUCCAUCCCUGGGAGAGCGUGGGUGUCCUGAAAUGAGAGGGCUUCUCAGCGACACCCAGGCCGGGAAGCCUGUGGACACGGCCAGACAGCUCUGGGUCGCAGUCCUCCGUCCAAGGAGGCCCAGCCUCCCCCAAGCCUUCUCAGGCCCCCGGGGCUUCCCGGGUCCUUGGGGGCGGAGGCUUGCGGGACAAGUGGCUCCUUGCCUGACCCUGUCCCACGUCCCAUUUCCCCUAGGCUCCCCUCCUCUGAUGGCAGUCCCUUCCGGAGGGGACAUCCCAGCACUUGCAGGAGAGCCCCGGUAAAAGCCGGAAGUUGUCCUCCCAGGGCGGGAGGUGGCCGGAUUCCUCCGCGGGACUGCAGGUGCCAAGUCACAGUGCUGGAGGCGGGGCCGUCAAGUCCAGGAAGGGGCCUCUCCACUGUGUCCUCACAUGGCCUCUUCUCUGUGGAGGGACAGCAAGCAAGCUCAGGUGUCUCUUCCUAUAAGGACACCAGUCCUGUGGAGUCAGGGCCCCACGCCUGACCUCAUUUCACCUUAAUUGUAUCUAAAUGUGCUGUCGCCAAACACAGGAACACCUGGGGGUUAGGGAUUCAGCCUGGGGGUUCGGAGACACCUCUGAGUUCCAGAACAGGGUGGUCAGCACAAGCAGGGCUCAUCUGCCUUUUGGAAUGCCCACCCCGCAGGCAGGAGAUGAGCAGGCAGGUGUUGUGCUAGGGUGGCCGCGGAUGCCUCGGGACAUGCAGGACUAGAGGGACAGAGGGCAGGGAGCAGGGAGGGCCUGGAAGGAGGCAUGGCUCCAGGAGAGCUUGGGUCUUGAAGCCAGAUCGGUUCUCAGGUGCGCCCCCUGCUGUACAGCCAUGGGCAGGUCACCUUGGCAGCGUGAGCCCUCCGCACCAGGAGCACUCAAAGGUGUGGGCACAGUGUGGGAGCCCUUAGUAGGUGCUCAAUAAACACUCCAGCCCAUCUAGAUUUAGGAUCAGUCUCAUGUUGGCAUGGCCGACGGUGAAACUCGGCAUCUUCUGAUCCAGAAGCAUUUCUGGUUCCAUGUUCCUCUGCCUGCUUCCCUAAUACCCCUUUCUCAGCAGCUUGGGAUGUGGUCACAUUUCAUGGCCUCCAAAGUAGCUCCAAAGUAGCUCGCUGCGUUUCCUGGGGGAAAUUCCUCUCGUUAGAAUUGAACACCUACUUUGGGCUCUUUCUUGUGCCAGCCUUUUGGGGGACGAUAGGUCAAGAUCUGGCUACGGGUCCAACCUUGAGGAUUGCCUAGUCAUGAUGCAGGAGGGGACACAGCCAGCUCCCAUGGGGAACUGGAGGGCUGUCUAUGUCAUAAUGGAGUCUGUUGAGGCCGAGGCUCUGAGCGCCCAGAGGUGGGGUGGAGUGGGAGUGGGGGGCUACAGGCUGGAGAGGCUAGGCUUCCUAGCAAGCCAGGGCCUUGGAGGGUGAGCAAGUCGUGGCUUAUCUGAGAACUUCUAGGGAGAAACUAGAGAAAGAUUCUCCAGUGUCGCAGCAGGACUCGUCAGAGCCUUGACGAUGUUAAUGAGGACAACGGAUAUUCAAGGAGCCCAUAGAAGAAGCAUUCCCUGACUCCCGGGGCCACAGAAUCCUUUUCUCACAGAGCAUCAUUAGAACUGUGGGAGAUGUCAGGCUGAGUUUUGGGGGGAGACAGAGGGGGACAGGAGAUGACAUGACUAGGGUACACUCGGGUGCUUUGAAAUUUGGCUGGAAAGGAUGCAGACGGGGAGGGACUGGGGAGUCUGAACUUGGUUCCGGGGCCAAGGUUGGUGCCAUAUUUGUAGGGGUGAGGCGGGGGCAGACUAGCAUUGGGAGCAGCCAGGGCCCUGGCAGCGGGUGAUGGAAGAGACGUCCACCAAACAGGGGGCUGUGGGAGGUCAGACCUUUUGUGGAAGGACGCUGGUGUGUGUGUGUGUGUGUGUGUGUGUGUGUGUUUUCACACAUCAGCUCUCUGGGAAGGGGCUGACCGGAUCCAGGCAGGGGGUUUCCACUCAGAACAGCAGGGUCCAUUUUCAGGGGAACUGAAAAUGUUUGGGGGGAGACGGUCUUUGAGACCCACAGACAAGGAAUAGGGACUCAUGAUGCUUUGGGGCAGGGUCCGGGUGGCUAGGCUAGAUCCUGGUGGGGUGGAGGGGUGAGGUGGCAGACCCCCUGCCCUGGUCAGGCCCAUGCCCAGGCUGGGGGGGUCAGGAGGCCCUGGAGCGCCGCAGGAGGCCCCGGGCAGCAUGGCAUGGUGUGAUUAACCUACUAACCCAGGGCUCGGCCGGGACACUGUGGCGUGUGAUGAGGUGCCUGGCCUUCUGCCCAACCACUAACCCACUAACCAGGCCCGAGCAUGCCCUACUAACCCCGCAGCCAGACCCUACUAACCGUGCAGCCCAUGGGCCUUUUCAGGGGCUGGGACGUGGGUGCAGACGAGGCUCCGGAAGUCCCUGCCAGGGCUGGGAUCUCUGUGCAGACCCAGGGUGCAGGACGGGGCGUGCAGAUAGGCCUUAACCCGCUCUACUGCUUCCUCCACACCCCAAUUCUUCCCUUGCUGGUUACAGUGAGGGUGCUCCCUAAUAUGUCAGCCUUGGUGCAUGGCAGAUACUUAAAAAAUACAAAAAGGUGGGGGUGGGGGUGGGAGGCUCCGGAGACCCCAUCACGCCCCCGCCUGGCCUGGUCUCUCUGGGUGUUCUGCACAGAGACCCUCUGCCCGGGGCUGGGCACGUCCCUUCCCACUUCCUCUCUCUCUCCCCCAGCUUUCCUUUCGUAGACGGCUCUUUUGUUCGAUUACUAACUUGUCUAACCUGGGGGUGCCUCCGCUGCACCCCGACGCCCCUUCUUGAGCUCUAGACCUGUGUGUGUCCCCCCUUCUCUCCUAGCGGCUCCCGUGUCUGUCUGCUGAGGUGCCCUGUGCGCUGAUGCUGUGCUCUGACUACUAACCCGGCCCUACUAACCCGUUCUCUACUAACCCAGCCCUGCCGAGCUCUGGGCCCCCCACUGGGGGCUGGUCCCCCUCCUUUUGGCAAGCAGAUGUCCCACUCUGCUGCCUCAUGUGGGCUUCUUGGGAGCGCAGAGUCCACCAGGCCAGGUCAAAGGCAGGGGACGGUCUUUUGGACCUGGCCCGGAGGAGGCUGAGGUGGUCCUGGGCCGUGGGGGGCUGGGCUGAGCGCCACCUUGCUCCUCUGCGGAGAAGUCUGGUUGCCCCUGGGAGAGGCGGGCCGGGGAGCCCUCUGGGUGUGAGUGUGGAGGCCUGUGGGUCCGGAGUGUGCAGGUCUGGGCUUUCCCCAGGCGACAGUCGGGACAAGGGGCCUGUGGGUCCUUCCCUGCAAGGAGGCCAGGUAGAGCUUUCUGUUGGGCGGGAACCAUCUUGCACAGGAAAUCAAGGGGUGGGGGUCAUGACCCAAUUCGGAAAUCCUUAGAGGGGCCUGUCCCAAGCUGUAGCCGGCAGAAGGGAGUGUCCACAGCCAGCUGAGACCUUGCUAAAGAGGAAGGCGGUGGAGAGGGUCUUUCCCACGCUGCAAGGGAAGCGUCCAGGACUCAGGACCUCAGGGAGGGAGGCGUCCCCGGGGAAUUGGGACCGGAAGUCAGAGAGAAGGCAUCCCUGACCACGAGGCUGGAGAAGGCUGCUCAGCGGUCAGCGGAAGGGCCCUCUUCCCCUAGGAAGUCCGCUAGAGCGGCCUCUCUCCAUGGCAGGAGGGAGGAGGAGUGAGGCUGCCCAAGGACCUUGUCCCACACCCAGAAGCUAGGGGGCGCCAGCUGCCCGCGUGGUUAGGAAAGCAGGCCCGCAAGGACUGGAGUUUGCAGGGGAGGGAAUCCCAGGGACGCCAUCCCCAGCUCCCUGCCCAGCCCCGGCCCCAGCCAGCCUCCCCCAGAGCCCGCCAGCUGCUAAGCCGGGGCCACACCUGGGGGUGACGUCAUGCCUCACCUCCAGUAGGCACCUUGGUCUCUUGCACUAACUCUUGCUCUUGCCCAGCUAAUCCCUGCCUGGCCCUGGCUGCCCAGGGGCUGACCACUAACAGCCAGCCCUGCCCAUCGGUUGGGGUGGGGCGGCUCCAGGCUCCGGGCCUGGCUUUGGCCGGCUCUCAGCUCACCUCUCCUUCUCCUUGACUAACUCCUGCCUCCCUGGUCUGUUCCUUUUAGCAGAAACUAAUGGCUUGCGGAUCCCUCUUGGACUAACAACGGGUCUAACCCUUCUCCUCACUGUGACCAUUAACAGCUUGGUGUCAGCAUGGCUGCCAGGGGCUAACCCAGGUUUGGAACUUGACUAACACAGUGUUAGGUGCAGCUGGUGAUGUCGCUCUCGGUGACCUCUCCAGGUCAGGGCAGUUGCUGUCAAUCAUGCUCCUGGUUCUCUAAAGGAGAUGCCAGGGACAGGGUGUGGCGAUGGUGGCCCACGGAGGUGGGGUUAGACGUAGAGUCGGCCUUCCAAUGUUUUGGCCACUGGAUAGAUUCUGUUAACCCCUCCUAAUCUGUUUGAUUUCAGUCCUUCUAAACAGUAGUCACACAGUCUUUACAAGUUGAACCUCAAAACGCGUUUGGGGGUACAGAGGGUGUGUUGUUACGUAUGAAGCCAGAUUAGGGCCUACAGUCCCUGUUUGGGGGACUUGAGGGUUAGCCCUAGGACAUAAAGCUUCAGAUAGAAGCAUUCAGAAGGAUCAUACUUCUAUCAGCCAUUUACACUGUAGUGUAAAUUAGCUUGGCAUCUUCUAAUUUCCAACUCUUCUCACCUAAUUGUAAAGCGAGAUCGCCACAGGAGGUCUUUGGCUGGCAGGGAGUUUGGAUCUCUGUAGGGCUGCGGGGAAGGUUGUUUGGGAUCAGAGAGCCGAGAAGGUGCCACCAGGUGGAGAUGGGAAUGGGAAGCAGGUCUGUGCGGCCUCACUCUGGUAGUCAGCGUUGAUGGGAGAGGUCAGAUGGUGGCCUGAAGGAAUGAAGCUCAGGGACAGUGUCUCAGAGUGGCCUAGAGGCCUUCAGCGUGUGGCUGGGGUCAAUGAAUGCUGUGCGUGGCUUCUCUGCCAUGGCCACAGGCUCACAGCUGGCCAUGUGUAGCUGACCACAGGGCCCAAAGGGAGAUCCAGAGGCCAGAGCUGCAGAGGACACAGGACAGAGGCCUCAGGAAGAGCGGUCAGGAGGUGCCUUGGUCAGCCCUGCACGGGAAGCUCCGCCUGCGCCCUCUAGCGGCUGCUCCGCCCCGUUUCACCCAAAGCACGAAGCGGAGACCACCUUCCUGUUCAACACCCGCUCCGCGGGGAGACCCUCUAUAUUCACAUUCAGGGGCCCGAGGCUGCUGAGGACCUGGGUGCUGGGACCGCACACGGGCCUUGUCGCCGGUGCUUGCCUGGCUCAGCAGGGCCCGAUCUGGGCGUGGGGCGGGGAGGGUCAGCGGGGCUCGUCCUCAGGCCCUUGGGUUCUGGUGCGAUGGAUUCAGAGGGCAGGUGGGCUGGGGGCACUCCGGGCUGUGGCAGUCAGGGUGGGCUUUCCGAGAGCCAGAGCGAGCCGUGGGAGCUGGACCCCGGCUGGUGGGGCGUGGGUGGAGACGGGUUCCGGCCGACAGGACUGGGGGACCCCAAGCUCUGGGGAUCAGGGAGGAUGGGGGGGGUUGGGCAGGGGCCAGGUCUUGAUGCCAGGACACCUGGAUGUCGUGCGCUGGGGAGCCUCGUCUGAGACCCGGAGUGGGCGGUCCAGCUUUAGCCCAUCCCUGGGUGGCGCCCCCCAGGUGGGACUCCAGGGAGUGAGGCACAGCUCUGCCCACUUUGUGGCAGACCCGGGGACCCUUGGGUCCCCCUGGAGAUACACAGGAGCCACCGCGUACCCAGUGGGAGGUAGUUUUUCUGCCACGACUGAGAGGCACACAGCACCUAGGUGACCAUGAGGACUUGGGAGGAGCAGUUUGAAAACAGGACAUGCCUGGCGUCCCGUGGCCCGGGGAGAAGAUCUGGGGGGACACGGGCGGGCAGCGGGUCACAAAUCUACAAGGGACUCUCUUGUGUGCCUGUGCCGGGGGAGGGGAGGCAGAUGACCGUGUCCAGGAGGCUGAUCCUGGUCCCAGAGGGGAAAACACAUCUCAGUGGGUAAAAUGAAGCUCCUGUCCCUGGAGGCAGGAGGGUCGGGCCUAGGCCAGGCCCACAGCGAGGGAGGUCUUGCAAGUCCAGGAGCCUGUGUGUGUGUGUGUGUGUGUGUGUGUGUGUGUGUUCCUUUGGCUAAUGCCAGAGGCCACAGCCCAACCAGGCACAUCAUCGAGUGUCGUAGACCGGAGCCUGCAGAGGCCCGUCCACUCUGCCCCGAGGUCCCCUCCCAUAGGGCUUGCUGUGACUGCACUCUGAGGGAGGGACUGGGCUCCCGGGCUGACGAGCUGUCCUUCCCCGUCUGUGUUUGGGAAGGACCCACCUGACCUGCCCGAGGGCCGUGCUGGGGUCAGUGGGGAGUGCUCAGAGAGGGAGGCGGGUCCCAUGGCCACCGAGGAGCCCAAAGACCCCCGUCCCCCAAGAGUGGCCCCUGAGAGUCUUCCGAGACCCGCUGUUUUACUUCCAGAGACGGGAAGAUGUGUUGGGGUUCGGCGUCUUCACCUCUGAAUGUGGGCCCCGAAAUUCUGCUGUCGAUUAAAAAUCAGAUUCUCGCAUGGA